GGUGGUUCUCAGGUGAUGCACCCCAGAAUUGGGCUCCCUCCUCUCUGGUUCCGGGUGCAUCACCGAAGAACCGCA
rfam:Myotis brandtii contig213674, whole genome shotgun sequence.